rnacentral:misc_RNA from 1 species
UCACUUUUUUAUUCAUUCGCAUGGUAGAAAAAUGGAUUUUCCCUUUUGUGGGUUCGAAAACCCUAUCCUACCUAGAAUAGGGUUGCUUUGCUUGUGUUGCUAGUGCACACAAGGGAUAUCUUGGCGCUUCUUUUUGCUCUGAUUUUUUGACAUUAUCUGGUAACUUUCACACUCUCUCAGUUGGGUUCUGAAAAGGUUCUAUUUCUUUUCUUGAUUAUCUGCAUUGUUUGCUUCAUAGCACUUGUUUCUCUUAGCCAAUGUAUGUGUGUGGGUGUGUGUGGAUGAUUGAUCCGAUCAGGCAAAAUAAUGAAUGCUUCUUUCCUCAUGGGAAGUUUGCUGCAAAUUUUUCUUUUCUCUUUUGCUUCUGUGUUCUGAGUUUUUGCAGAUUGGUGUUCGAUUAAGUAAAUGUUUACUCAUUUGUCAUGGGUGAAUGAUGUCCCAGAAGAAAUCUAAUCGAGCAGGUCAGAAAGUACUUAAGAACACAUCUUUUGUUUUGCAUUUAUACAUAACAUUUUCUUCUAAUUUAUUUAUUUCAUGAAUUCCCUUUCUUUUUCUAUCUUCGUUUAUUGGAAUAAUUAUUUUAUCAUUGGUCUCUACCGAGGACUUUAAUCCUUUAUUAACCUGUUAAAUCAUCUCAUUUUGUGAUUAUCGAGUCUGAUAGCAACUUAUAUUUCAUACGGAUGGCAUAUUAAGCAAAUAAUCUAACUAAAAAUUAUGAUAAAACUUAAGUUGUUUUUCAAGAAAUUACAUGCAAUUAAAAUUUCUUAGAUUAUAGCAUCAUCAAUUGCUUCAUCAUCUAAUUUGGUCAUUGUACUUGUUUUGAGCAGCAAGUGGAUUGCUUUGACAAUACUUCUUCAUAUGAAAUUGUGACUAAUAUAGCAUCAUCAGAAGUUCAUUAUUGCUCUAUAGUAUUUAUAUUACGCAUUUAUGCAGAUGAAAAACUAUAGUUUUGUUAUAAUUGAAUUGCAGAUGUUGAAUAUCCAACCAGGAUCCUUAAAUGUUUUAGGGUGUGUUUGGUAUUUUUAUUGUAACUGCUGUCGAGAAAAAUACCCCCAUAAAUACUUUACGAGCUAUUAAAAAUUGAUUUAAAGU